GUCUAAGAAGGGAAAGUUUGAUUGGACUAAUUCAAGGGGUGAGGUUGAAGACUUAGGAAGUUAGAAACUGGAGAAGCUAAAGAAUAUGGCUGGUGAGGAAGGUACAGGUUGGUUAGGAAUGGGUCUAGGUUUGAGUGCCCUAGAAAGACUACGAAAGUCCCGUAGGGGAAUUUCCAGAAGCAGUUUUUAGGUGUUCCACGUAAAAACAACCCAGAGUGAAGAAGAAUCAAGGUUUUUCCUCAACAGGUCUUAGAAGAUGCAGGGCUCGAACCCACAAACUGUGAGACCAUGACCUGAGCUGAAGUCAGAUGCUUAUCGGACUGAGUCACCUAGGCGCCCCAAGAGGAGAGCAUUUUUAUGGAGAUUUUGCUUAUUUUAAAUUUGUUUUAAUUAAUAAUCAUAAUAAUACUGUUGGGGCCCUUGGGUGGCUCACUUGGUUAAGCGUCCAACUUUGGCUCAGGUCCUGAUUCCACAGUUCAUGAGUUCAAGCCCCGCAUCAGGCUCUCUGCUGUCAGCAGAGUCUGCUUCAGAUCCUCUGUCUCCGUCUCACUCUGCCCUCCCCUACCCACUCUCUCUCUCAAAAAUAAAUAAACAUUAAAUGUUUUUAAAUCCAGUUACAAUGCUGCUUCUCAGAAGAAAGCAAACGCAAAAGAAAGGGAUUACAAUAUCAGGGCAGGACAAAUCCUAAAUUUAAAAAAAAAACACAUGUGAGAUGAACUGCCUGGUGCUCUGCCAGAAAUAUGCUGUAUCUUGAACAAAUCCAUCUGUCUUUUAGAUGCUAAUGUCCAGUUUGACUAAGCUAGUUGAAGCUACCUGUUUCUUUAAGCACCCACCUCUUCAAAGUAUAUGGUGGAAAUUUGUCAAACAACUUUACCUUUGUCUCUCUACUUAAUAGUUUCUCGAAUGUGUUGUGAUAUAUUCAUUCAAUAAGAAAUAUUUAAGUGAGGGUACAUUUAAGCAAAUGUAAAUAUCACAUAUAUGAAACAUAAUAGUACCAGUUACCAAAUCAUUGAGAUAUCUCAUGGGACUGGAAGAUUGAAAAUCAGUUCACUAAUACUGCCUUCUAUUAAUUUGAGCAAACUGGAAAUGAAGCAAUGUGAGCUUACUCUUUUUUUUUUCUUAGUUUUGAUAAAUAUGUGAGUCAAAAAAGCAAAAUAAAUCACAAGAUUUUAUGAAGUGCUUAGAACAGUGCCUAACAAAUUAGUGAAAGUCCUGUAAAUGAGAUUAUAAUCUAAUGAAGGAGCUGGAUAGUAAAUAAGCAAAAAGUUAAAAGGUUGGAAUAUAUGUAGCAAAGGAAAUAAACAGGGUAAUAUAAUGGAGAGUAACUGGAGAGAAAGAAGAGGCUGGCUAUUGUAGAGUGGUCAGGAAAGGCUUCUGUAAUGAUACAAAAUUUGAGCUAAAACCUGAAGAAUUGAAAGGUUCAAGUUUUGCAACUCGAUAUAUAGAUAUCCAAUGGGCAGAGAGGAGGGUUGUGGCAUAGACGUGACAAUUAGAGCAUCAUCAACAUUGCUAGUAUUCAAGGUCAUAAGAAAGAAUGAGUUAACCAAAGAAAAUGUAAUAAGAGGAGAGGGUCCAGGAUUAAGCUCUGAGAAACUUCCAAAUAUAGUGGUUAGGUCUCUAAAAACGAGGAGUAAAGAAAGGGAAAACCUGGAGAGUGCAGUGUCACGAAAGCCCCAAAAAAGAAGCAUCAGGAAAGGAAAAGUGGUUAACUGUCUAAAAUAUUGUUAAGAGAACAUAAUAAUGGGGACAGAGAAGGGCUCAUUGGAUUGACACUAUAGAGAUCAAUAUUGACUUUGUAGGUGGCAGUUCAAUGAAAUAAUGGGGACAGAUUUGGAAUGGUUCAGGACUAAGUUAGGGAUGGGAAAAGUGAAGACAGGUAUUUGAGAAACUAUUGUGAAGAGCCGCAGAAAAAUAUAACAGGAGGAGAUUAUGGGAGGAUUUUGUUUUGUGUUUUUUACAUUUAUAUCUUUUUUGUAU